CAGCAGCCACGGUAAUACCGAGGGUGCAAGCGUUAAUCGGAAUUACUGGGCGUAAAGCGCGCGUAGGUGGUUUGUUAAGUUGGAUGUGAAAUCCCCGGGCUCAACCUGGGAACUGCAUCCAAAACUGGCAAGCUAGAGUAUGGUAGAGGGUGGUGGAAUUUCCUGUGUAGCGGUGAAAUGCGUAGAUAUAGGAAGGAACACCAGUGGCGAAGGCGACCACCUGGACUGAUACUGACACUGAGGUGCGAAAGCGUGGGGAGCAAACAGGAUUAGAUACCCCAGUAGUCCCUGUCUCUUAUAU
rnacentral:rRNA from 1 species